rnacentral:lncRNA from 1 species
AGAGACCGACCUGACAGGAAAUGGCAGCCUGGCCAUACCUCCAGACAUUCGCUACAGGCUUUUCACAGUGGCUGGACCAAGAAACUGCAGACUUCACACGCUGUGAGUGCCCAGACCUGUGCCAGAGGCACAGCUGAGAACUUCUCCUGGUAAUCCUGGUGGCUCCUGCUGAUUCGUGCUGAUUUGGCUGAAGCCUGGCUGAUCCUGCCGGAUCAUCCCACUGCUGCUGCUAUUCCCACCCUACUGAGUUGCUGGUAGAUCAUGCCACUGCUGGUGUAUCCAUGAAGUGUUUUCAAAUGGAUCCAGCUGCCUUUGCUGACCUGUGAACUGAACUGCUGAUUUCCUGACAAUGCAGAAGGGAUUUGCUCUGAAGAACCAUUUUUAAACAGUCAAAUGCUAAAGGCAACCUGGAGAGGAAAGUGAAGCAUG